rnacentral:rRNA from 1 species
ACUUGAAUUGAAGAGUUUGAUCAUGGCUCAGAUUGAACGCUGGCGGCAGGCUUAACACAUGCAAGUCGAACGGUAGCAGGAGAAAGCUUGCUUUCUUGCUGACGAGUGGCGGACGGGUGAGUAAUGCUUGGGAAUCUGGCCUAUGGAGGGGGAUAACGACGGGAAACUGUCGCUAAUACCGCGUAUUAUCGGAAGAUGAAAGUGCGGGACUGAGAGGCCGCAUGCCAUAGGAUGAGCCCAAGUGGGAUUAGGUAGUUGGUGGGGUAAAGGCCUACCAAGCCUGCGAUCUCUAGCUGGUCUGAGAGGAUGACCAGCCACACUGGAACUGAGACACGGUCCAGACUCCUACGGGAGGCAGCAGUGGGGAAUAUUGCGCAAUGGGGGGAACCCUGACGCAGCCAUGCCGCGUGAAUGAAGAAGGCC